GAUGAACGCUGGCGGCGUGCCUAAUACAUGCAAGUCGAGCGAACAGACGAGGAGCUUGCUCCUCUGACGUUAGCGGCGGACGGGUGAGUAACACGUGGAUAACCUACCUAUAAGACUGGGAUAACUUCGGGAAACCGGAGCUAAUAUCGGAUAAUAUAUUGAACCGCAUGGUUCAAUAGUGAAAGACGGUUUUGCUGUCACUUAUAGAUGGAUCCGCGCCGCAUUAGCUAGUUGGUAAGGUAACGGCUUACCAAGGCAACGAUGCGUAGCCGACCUGAGAGGGUGAUCGGCCACACUGGAACUGAGACACGGUCCAGACUCCUACGGGAGGCAGCAGUAGGGAAUCUUCCGCAAUGGGCAAAAGCCUGACGGAGCAACGCCGCGUGAGUGAUGAAGGUCUUCGGAUCGUAAAACUCUGUUAUUAGGGAAGAACAAAUGUGUAAGUAACUAUGCACGUCUUGACGGUACCUAAUCAGAAAGCCACGGCUAACUACGUG
rnacentral:rRNA from 1 species